CCUACGGGAGGCAGCAGUGAGGAAUAUUGGUCAAUGGACGAGAGUCUGAACCAGCCAAGUAGCGUGAAGGAUGACUGCCCUAUGGGUUGUAAACUUCUUUUAUAUGGGAAUAAAAUGUUCCACGUGUGGGAUUUUGUAUGUACCAUAUGAAUAAGGAUCGGCUAACUCCGUGCCAGCAGCCGCGGUAAUACGGAGGAUCCGAGUGUUAUCCGGAUUUAUUGGGUUUAAAGGGAGCGUAGGUGGAUUGUUAAGUCAGUUGUGAAAGUUUGCGGCUCAACCGUAAAAUUGCAGUUGACACUGGCAGUCUUGAGUACAGUAGAGGUGGGCGGAAUUCGUGGUGUAGCGGUGAAAUGCUUAGAUAUCACGAAGAACUCCGAUUGCGAAGGCAGUUCACUGGACUGCAACUGACACUGAGGCUCGAAAGUGUGGGUAUCAAACAGGAUUAGAUACCCGAGUAGUC
rnacentral:rRNA from 1 species